rnacentral:lncRNA from 1 species
UUUCCGAGGUAUCUAAUAAGUUUGUCACCGCCGGAAAAUAGAUUCUAGCAGAGAGAUAAUGUAUACGGAAAUAUAGAGAGUGAUCAUGGAUGAUGAUGACAUGCUUCACCCAAUAAUCCGACAGAAAUAUAAUAUAUAGUGUCUGUCUCCAUGCAAUAGAGAAAAAGGACAAAGGAUGCCUAAUAAUAGAAAACACGCACUCCCACGUACUUAAGCAGACCAGGCGACGAAGUAAGCUGUGCACAACAUCCACAACCACGUGACCUCUAAUUUGUUUAGUUCCCGACCGACUCAGCGUGGUUUAACACACUACACUUAUCACAUUUUUGUCACGUGUCUCUAUAGGGGUCAGGGGAUCACUGCAAUAUACCAAAACCAAAUCAUCAAUAAAAAUAAGUCGACGUCGACCGAAUCUUAAAAAACUAUAAAACAUAGGAAUAGCCGAAUAGAGGAUACACAAUAAAAUCUCUGGCGUACGAGGACAAUAAUAUAUAUUACAUCAUACUCUCAAACUCCAAUUAAAAAAAUUUAAAACACAAAAAACGUGACGUAUAUAUGAUGUAUAAUUAAGCUGAAGAUUGAAAAGUAGUCGUGCAGUACAUAACUACAUACUCCC